rnacentral:rRNA from 1 species
UACGAAGGGGGCUAGCGUUGUUCGGAAUCACUGGGCGUAAAGCGCACGUAGGCGGAUCGUUAAGUCGGGGGUGAAAUCCCAGGCUCAACCCUGGAACUGCCUUCGAUACUGGCGAUCUUCGAGUCCGGGAGAGUGAGUGGAACUCCGAGUGUAGAGGUGAAAUUCGUAGAUAUUCGGAAGAACACCAGUGGCGAAGGCGGCUCACUGGCCCCGGUACUGACGCUGAGGUGCGAAAAGCGUGGGGGAGCAAACAGG